UACGUAGGGCGCAAGCGUUGUCCGGAAUUAUUGGGCGUAAAGAGCUCGUAGGCGGUCUGUCGCGUCGGCUGUGAAAACCCGGGGCUCAACCCCGGGCCUGCAGUCGAUACGGGCAGACUAGAGUGUGGUAGGGGAGACUGGAAUUCCUGGUGUAGCGGUGGAAUGCGCAGAUAUCAGGAGGAACACCGGUGGCGAAGGCAGGUCUCUGGGCCACUACUGACGCUGAGAAGCGAAAGCAUGGGGAGCGAACAGG
rnacentral:rRNA from 1 species